rnacentral:rRNA from 1 species
CGAGCGGUAACAGAUCCAGCUUGCUGGAUGCUGACGAGCGGCGGACGGGUGAGUAAUGCAUAGGAAUCUGCCCGAUAGUGGGGGAUAACCUGGGGAAACCCAGGCUAAUACCGCAUACGUCCUACGGGAGAAAGGGGGCUCCGGCUCCCGCUAUGGGAUGAGCCUAUGUCGGAUUAGCUAGUUGGUGAGGUAACGGCUCACCAAGGCCACGAUCCGUAGCUGGUCUGAGAGGAUGAUCAGCCACAUCGGGACUGAGACACGGCCCGAACUCCUACGGGAGGCAGCAGUGGGGAAUAUUGGACAAUGGGGGAAACCCUGAUCCAGCCAUGCCGCGUGUGUGAAGAAGGCCCUCGGGUUGUAAAGCACUUUCAGCGAGGAAGAACGCCUAGCGGUUAAUACCCGCUAGGAAAGACAUCACUCGCAGAAGAAGCACCGGCUAACUCCGUGCCAGCAGCCGCGGUAAUACGGAGGGUGCAAGCGUUAAUCGGAAUUACUGGGCGUAAAGCGCGCGUAGGUGGCUUGAUAAGCCGGUUGUGAAAGCCCCGGGCUCAACCUGGGAACGGCAUCCGGAACUGUCAAGCUAGAGUGCAGGAGAGGAAGGUAGAAUUCCCGGUGUAGCGGUGAAAUGCGUAGAGAUCGGGAGGAAUACCAGUGGCGAA